AGAUUGAACGCUGGCGGCAUGCCUAACACAUGCAAGUCGAACGGGAGUAGCAAUACUCUAGUGGCGGACGGGUGAGGAAUACGUAGGAAUUUGCCCUUAAGUGGGGGAUAACCCGGGGAAACCCGGAUUAAUACCGCAUGACCUCGAAAGAGCAAAGUGGGGGAUCGCAAGACCUCACGCUUUUGGAGAAGCCUACGUCGGAUUAGCUAGUUGGUGAGGUAAUGGCUCACCAAGGCGACGAUCCGUAACUGGUCUGAGAGGAUGAUCAGUCACACCGGAACUGAGACACGGUCCGGACUCCUACGGGAGGCAGCAGUGGGGAAUAUUGGGACAAGUGGGCGCAAGCCGUGAAUCCAGCAAUGACCGCGUGUGUGAAGAAGGCCUUGGUUCGAAGCACGUUUAAGUU
rnacentral:rRNA from 1 species